rnacentral:rRNA from 1 species
UACGUAGGGGGCAAGCGUUGUCCGGAAUUAUUGGGCGUAAAGCGCGCGCAGGCGGUCGUUUAAGUCCGAUGUUUAAACCGAGGGCUCAACCCUCGGUCGCAUGGGAAACUGGGCGACUGGAGUGCAGGAGAGGAAAGUGGAAUUCCACGUGUAGCGGUGAAAUGCGUAGAGAUGUGGAGGAACACCAGUGGCGAAGGCGACUUUCUGGCCUGUAACUGACGCUGAGGCGCGAAAGCGUGGGGAGCAAACAGG